GAGGCGUUCCUCCUGAGGCCGGGUGCGCGCACGCUUGGUGGGGACAAAGCAGGCUGGUCCGUUUUCAGUGACUAAAACGCAGCGUUGCGUUAGUUCCGGCUCCCCAGUCGCUUCUCAAGAUAAGGAUGAGCUCACUGAAUGGACCUGUCUCUGGCUCAGCACACACUCUGAGUGGGUCAAAUUCCAGCCCAGCCCCCGGCUCCCGCUCUUUGGGGCACAUCGAUUUCCCCUUUCCUGAGGCUUCCGGAAGCCAGCAUGCUGACUGCAUAGGACUCCACAGCCCUGUCUACACUUGAAGAUUCACCCAGCUCUCCCGGUUGGUUGCGACUGAGUGAAUGUAACCAAGACUUUCAUCAAGUUGAAAUGAAGUUUUCAGUUUUGCAUUGUUCAUAAUUUUCGUAGUUACCAGCCUUUUUUCUAAGACUAUUUACUGUUUUUUUGUUUGUUUUUAAUGCAGGGUUCCCGUGCAUCUUCUGAUUCCGCGUGUGAUUGUUCACAGCACCACCUUGCUUCCCAGGCACUGGGGAGGUGGAGCUAGGAGGAUCGUGAGUUCAAAGCCAACUUGGGAUACUUCCCUAGGGAGACCCCCCCCAUCUCAAAGAAACAAAAUCUCUGUAGACCCUAAUAUAUGGCAAAUAUUUUCUUUAGAUUAUCAAAGACUUUAACUCACCCAUUUUUAUUGUCUGUAUUCAUCAUGCACAGGGCUGGUCUUCAUGAAGAAAACUUAUCUCAAGAACAAGACGGACCUUGGCUGCAUCUCCCUGCCUUCUUUCCCCUUUCUGUUUCUCCUCCUCGGUCUUUCUGCUGCUUCCACUCACACAUAUGAAUGUGAUUUUCUGUAGCUACAUAAAAUCAUUUUCCACACAUAAACACAGGCUUGUGUGGUUUGAUACAUUCCUGUGACUCUGAUUCUGGGUGUCUGUUUCCCCUCAGAUACGGGUUGGUAAUUUUUCUACAAAUAAAUGUGGAAUUUAGUUGCUA